AUUGAACGCUGGCGGCAUGCUUUACACAUGCAAGUCGAACGGUAACAGGCCGCAAGGUGCUGACGAGUGGCGAACGGGUGAGUAAUGCAUCGGAACGUGCCCAGUCGUGGGGGAUAACGCAGCGAAAGCUGUGCUAAUACCGCAUACGAUCUAUGGAUGAAAGCGGGGGACCGUAAGGCCUCGCGCGAUUGGAGCGGCCGAUGUCAGAUUAGGUAGUUGGUGGGGUAAAGGCCCACCAAGCCAACGAUCUGUAGCUGGUCUGAGAGGACGACCAGCAACACUGGGACUGAGACACGGCCCAGACUCCUACGGGGGGCAGCAGUGGGGAAUUUUGGCCAAUGGGCGCAAGCCUGAUCCAGCAAUGCCGCGUGCAGGAAGAAGGCCUUCGGGUUGUAAACUGCUUUUGUACGGAACGAAACGGUCUGGGUUAAUACCCUGGGCUAAUGACGGUACCGUAAGAAUAAGCACCGGCUAACUACGUGCCAGCAGCCGCCGUAACAC
rnacentral:rRNA from 1 species